UCUCUUACUUUGUCUGCUGCCAUGUGAGCUGUGCCUUUCACCUUCCACCAUGAUUGUGAAGCCUUCCCAGACAUGUGACACAACCUCUGACUAUGUGAAGAUACGGUGGGAAGAUGACUGACCGCAAGACAGGAAGAGAGCCCUCACCGAGGAACCAAAUUGGCCAGUAUCUUGAUUUUGGAUUUCUCAACCUCAAGAACCAUGAGAAAUGAAUGUCUGCUGUUCAAGCCACCCAGUCAAUGAAAAAGUUUGGAAACCUUCAUCUAGAAAGUGGUCUAGCAAAGUGUGGUCCAUGGAUGAGUUUGAUCUGCAAACUGCUUGUUAUUGGUUCAUGACAAGAAUUGGUUCCAAACAGUAAAGCCGCCAGAAAAAACAGACAAACUCUUAGGAACAACAAUGCCCAUUAUGUGUGGAGUAGAAGCUGCCAGACUUUGAUUACUGGCCAGAGAUUAACCCCUUUGGUGUCUUAGGGGGGAAAAUGCCAAGUCUGAAUCCAGACAUUUCCAGGAUUUUACAGUCAUUCAUGGUCUACCAAUUGCAUUUUGAGAGCUCAGAUAAGCAGAGAGCAAUGCAAUUUGUCACAGAAGGAUGAUUAUGUAUAUGCACUGUCAUGUGUAUGUAUGUGUAUGUAUAUACGCUAUUUCCAUGCCUAACUCAAAGGAGACACAAGGAGAAAGUGAGCUCAGCCUGGAUAAAUUGGAGAUUGUGAUGACUUCUAGGAAGCCUCAGGAAAGAGAAACAAAGACAACACUGGCCUGCUGCUCUCUGCAAUGGUGGGACCCUUGUGGGAUAACUGUUUUAGGAAUGAAGGUGUCUACCCUCUCUAGAAAUGAAAAUGCAAGUUUGGCUGUGGUUAAGUAUUGGAUGGAGGCAAAAAGAAACUGACAUAUUUUCUUCUUUUCAAUUGUUUGAUUCACCCUGAAGGGCAUGGCUGCUUAAUUUUUUUCUCCAGAGAUAGGUGGACAGAUAAAGACAGGAAAGUAACAUCCACAGACUGCCCUCUGUGAAGGUGACAGUGAUGAAAGGAAUGCUUGAUCUGAACACUGGUAAAUAAAGUGACCGCAUAUUUCCCUAGCCAGGAGAGCAAUCUGGCUCAAAAGAAACGAGAACAAUGACAUUACUGCCAGGCUGCUCCUAAGCCUUUGGCUAUUCUGUUCAGUGCACAAAAAAAAGCAGUGAACAUAGCUGUGACCUGCCUUGUUGGUAGUAUCACAAUUCUUUGGGGCUCCACUUUAAGAAAUUGAGACCUACCUACCUUAAUCCUUGGGGGGUUAAGCUUUCAGACUGGAAUGAUAACUGAACUAUUCAUUUGCAGUAAUUCUGGGUUUUGUGCAUAUUUUAAAAAGGAAUACCGGGCUUGCCUAUAUUCAUUACAACGUCCUCCCAGCUUUCAAAUCUUCCAAUACAAUGCCUCUUCUCUAGUCUUUUAAGCACAUCCUGUGACUGGAUAUGAUUAUGGGAGAUUUACAUGCAUCCUUGUCUAUUGUAUCAAAAGAUCAGGGAAUAAAAUGCCCAUCAUUAAAACCCCAAAGUGAUUGGAUUGGCAUGAGGAAUGGGGAUGGGGCUGGCAUGGAAGAGAGGGUUCUGACUCUGAGAUUUCAUGAAAUGCAAAACAAUAGGACAGCUGCUCUUCCAUAAACAGAUUAUUAUUAUUAUUUCUACCUAGACAGCUUGAUAGCAGCCAUUAUCUUCUUUCUGGGUGUCUUAUCAAGUUCCGGCUGUGUGCAGCAUGGGUGAUAAGGAAAGAGAAAUGUCACCCAUGGGAUUGCCAAGGAUUAUUUCUAUGCACUGCUGUUCAGCAACAGCCAAUCUCUCAGAACUGAGAAGAAGUCCUAUUGUUCACGCUGGGCAGUUGCUAUUCUGACUAUCCCAAGAGAGCAGAAAAGGGAUGUAGUUGCCAUUGUGCAAAAGAUUGAUAUUUCAUUACUCUCAGCUAAAGUUCUGAAAAGCAGAAUCAUCAUGAAAUAUCUUUGAAGAGAGAAAAGACAAGGGAAGAAAAGAAGAACGAAAUGAGUUCAGAGCUUUUUAGAACUGUGAGGGAGUGCGAAAAAAGAAAGGUGUAAUACUUUCAAACAGUGGAAGUUAAAAUGCCAGGCGUGUAAGCCUCAGUGAAAUUGAGCAGCAUCACGUCACCACGACUUGUGGUCCAGCUGUUUAUUGCAAAGACUCCAUCCUGCGUUACUCAUCAGAAAAUAGUUAACUUUGUAUCUGGCAUUAUUUUAAUUAAAAAAAAAGUUAACUUACUAGAUUUCUGUUUGUCUGUGUUUCAUACAAGGUUCUUGAAUGAAAAUAAUCUGUUGAUAUUUAACAUUUUUCCUUUCCUUCUCAAUGAGAAAAUAAAUGUUUUAUUAUACAUGC
rnacentral:lncRNA from 1 species